CAGGAUGAACGCUAGCGACAGGCCUAACACAUGCAAGUCGAGGGGCAGCGCGGGGUAGCAAUACUCUGGCGGCGACCGGCGCACGGGUGCGUAACAGGUGUGCAAUCUGUCCAUAGUCGGGGGAUAGCCCAGCGAAAGCUGAAUUAACACUCCAUGUGAAUCGAAGCCGCAUGACUUUGAUUUGAAACGUAAGGACUAUGGGUGAGCACGCUUCUGAUUAGAUAGUUGGUGAGGUAACGGCUCACCAAGUCGACGAUCAGUAGGGGUUCUGAGAGGAAGGUCCCCCACAUUGGAACUGAGACACGGUCCAAACUCCUACGGGAGGCAGCAGUGAGGAAUAUUGGUCAAUGGGCGAGAGCCUGAACCAGCCAAGUCGCGUGAAAGGAUGAAGGUUCUAUGGAUUGUAAACUUCUUUUGUCCGAGGGUAAAAAAGGCUACGUGUAGCUUCUUGCAAGUAUCGGACGAAUAAGCAUCGGCUAACUCCGUGCCAGCAGCAGC
rnacentral:rRNA from 1 species